CAGGUGCAGGUAUAUAGGCUGGUUGCGUGCCUGAACACACCCGGCGAGCCACGGCUUAGUGGGUUCUUUAUAU
rnacentral:pre_miRNA from 2 species